rfam:Ictidomys tridecemlineatus contig043268, whole genome shotgun sequence.
CGGGUUGUGGCUUAGAAGUAGAGUGCUCACCUGGCACGUGUGAGGCACUGGGUUCGACCCUCAGCACCACAU